UACAGAGGUCCCAAGCGUUGUUCGGAAUUACUGGGCGUAAAGAGUGUGUAGGCGGUGCUCUAAGUUCGGUGUGAAAUCUCCUGGCUUAACUGGGAGGGUGCGCCGGAAACUGGAGUGCUCGAACGUGGGAGAGGAAAGCGGAAUUCCUGGUGUAGCGGUGAAAUGCGUAGAUAUCAGGAGGAACACCUGCGGUGUAGACGGCUUUCUGGACCAUUGUUGACGCUGAGACACGAAAGCGUGGGUAGCAAACAGG
rnacentral:rRNA from 1 species